rnacentral:rRNA from 1 species
AUUGAACGCUGGCGGCAUGCUUUACACAUGCAAGUCGAACGGUAACAGGUAAGCUGACGAGUGGCGAACGGGUGAGUAAUGCAUCGGAACGUGCCCGAUCGUGGGGGAUAACGCAGCGAAAGCUGCGCUAAUACCGCAUACGAUCUGAGGAUGAAAGCGGGGGACCGUAAGGCCUCGCGCGAUCGGAGCGGCCGAUGGCAGAUUAGGUAGUUGGUGGGGUAAAGGCCCACCAAGCAAACGAUCUGUAGCUGGUAUGAGAGGACGCCCAGCCACACAGGGACUGAGACACGGCCCAGACGCCUACGGGAGGCAGCGGUGGAGAAUUUUGGACAAUGGGCGAAAUCCUGAUCCAGCAAUGCCGCGUGCAGGAAGAAGGCCUUCGGGUUGUAAACUGCUUUUGUACGGAGCGAAAAGGUCUCCUCUAAUACAGGGGGCUCAUGACGGUACCGUAAGAAUAAGCACCGGCUAACUACGUGCCAGCAGCCGCCGUAA